GGUGGCUCAGUGGUAGAGUGCUUGCCUUGCAUGCAUGAAGCCCUGAGUUCCAUUCCUCAGCACCA
rfam:Dipodomys ordii contig_1449, whole genome shotgun sequence.